rnacentral:rRNA from 1 species
CACGUAGGGGGCGAGCGUUGUCCGGAUUUAUUGGGCGUAAAGAGCUCGUAGGCGGCUCGGUAAGUCGGGUGUGAAACCUCCAGGCUCAACCUGGAGACGCCACUCGAUACUGCCGUGGCUAGAGUCCGGUAGAGGAGCGUAGAAUUCCUGGUGUAGCGGUGAAAUGCGCAGAUAUCAGGAGGAACACCGGUGGCGAAGGCGGGUCUCUGGGCCGUAACUGACGCUGAGGAGCGAAAGCGUGGGGAGCGAACAGG